rnacentral:rRNA from 1 species
GACGAACGCUGGCGGCGUGCCUAAUACAUGCAAGUCGAGCGAACGGACGAGAAGCUUGCUUUUCUGAUGUUAGCGGCGGACGGGUGAGUAACACGUGGAUAACCUACCUAUAAGACUGGGAUAACUUCGGGAAACCGGAGCUAAUACCGGAUAAUAUUUUGAACCGCAUGGUUCAAAAGUGAAAGACGGUCUUGCUGUCACUUAUAGAUGGAUCCGCGCUGCAUUAGCUAGUUGGUAAGGUAACGGCUUACCAAGGCAACGAUGCAUAGCCGACCUGAGAGGGUGAUCGGCCACACUGGAACUGAGACACGGUCCAGACUCCUACGGGAGGCAGCAGUAGGGAAUCUUCCGCAAUGGGCGAAAGCCUGACGGAGCAACGCCGCGUGAGUGAUGAAGGUCUUCGGAUCGUAAAACUCUGUUAUUAGGGAAGAACAUAUGUGUAAGUAACUGUGCACAUCUUGACGGUACCUAAUCAGAAAGCCACGGCUAACUACGUG